GUGCCAGCAGCCGCGGUAAUACAGAGGGGGCAAGCGUUGUCCGGAUUUAUUGGGCGUAAAGCGCUCGCAGGUGGUUCGUUGCGUCGUGCGUGAAAGACCCCGGCUCAACUGGGGAGUGUCGUGCGAUACGGGCGAACUGGAGGCCAGUAGGGGGAUGCGGAAUUCCGGGUGUAGUGGUGGAAUGCGUAGAGAUCCGGAGGAACACCAGCGGCGAAGGCGGCAUCCUGGACUGGUCCUGACACUCAGGAACGAAAGCGUGGGGAGCGAUCCGGAUUAGAUACCCGUGUAGUCC
rnacentral:rRNA from 1 species